UGGUUCUGGCAUCGAUGAAGAACGCAGCGAAAUGCGAUAAUUAAUGUGAAUUGCAGAAUUUAGUGAAUCAUCGAAUCUUUGAACGCACAUUGCGCCCCUUGGUAUUCCGGGGGGCAUGCCUGUUCGAGCGUCAUUUCAACCCUCAAGCUCUGCUUGGUCUUGGGCCGCGCCAGCACUGGCGGGCCUCAAAAAUAGUGGCGGCGCCAUCGUGUCCCUCAGCGUAGUAAUUCUUCUCGCUGUUGGGCCCCGGUGGUCGCUGGCCAGUAACCCCAAACUUUCUAUGGUUGACCUCGGAUCAGGUAGGGAUACCCGCUGA
rnacentral:misc_RNA from 1 species